CUCAAAUCCUAAGUGUUUGAAAAAAUCAAAAAUCACAAGCAGUUCGUCGAGUACAACUAAGGACAACUUGAUUCUGGGAUAAGAGAAUGGUGCGUACAAAGAACACAAGCUUUAACAAAGAAUCAGAUCUAGUAGGUGAAAUCGAAAAGGCAACAGAUGCAAUCGUAGAAGAAAAUAGGACUCGUGGAGAUGAUUAUGAAGAAACAGAUUCAAAUCCGAAAUCAAAUUCUGGGGAUUCAACGAUAUGUACAACUUGGAUAGAAUAGUACAACUUGUGCGACCUCGGCAUAGCUAGUUUAUUUUCACUAAGAAAUUGAUUUAUUUUAUGUUGUGUUUUUGAAUCAUAUUAUAUGUGAACUCUUUAGAUAUGUUUGUGGUUUGUUGUUUUUUUU